rnacentral:rRNA from 1 species
UGUGUAGGCGGUUCUUUAAGUUUGCUGUGAAAUCUCCCGGCUUAACCGGGAGGGUGCGGUGAAUACUGAGGGACUAGAGUACGGGAGAGGAAAGUGGAAUUCCUGGUGUAGCGGUGAAAUGCAUAGAUAUCAGGAGGAACACCGGUGGUGUAGACGGCUUUCUGGACCGUAACUGACGCUGAAACACGAAAGCGUGGGUAGCAAACA